rnacentral:rRNA from 1 species
GACGAACGCUGGCGGCGUGCUUAACACAUGCAAGUCGAGCGGUAAGGCCCUUCGGGGUACACGAGCGGCGAACGGGUGAGUAACACGUGGGUGAUCUACCCUGUACUUCGGGAUAAGCCUGGGAAACUGGGUCUAAUACCGGAUAUGACCUUCCGAUGCAUGUCGGUGGGUGGAAAGAUUUAUCGGUACAGGAUGGGCCCGCGGCCUAUCAGCUUGUUGGUGGGGUAAUGGCCUACCAAGGCGACGACGGGUAGCCGGCCUGAGAGGGCGACCGGCCACACUGGGACUGAGACACGGCCCAGCCUCCUACGGGAGGCAGCAGUGGGGAAUAUUGCACAAUGGGCGAAAGCCUGAUGCAGCGACGCCGCGUGAGGGAUGACGGCCUUCGGGUUGUAAACCUCUUUCGACAGGGACGAAGCGAAAGUGACUGUACCUGCAGAAGAAGCGCCGGCUAACUACGUGCCAGCAGCCGCCGUAACAC